AAAGAGUCAAAUUAAAAUAUUUAUUUCAGGACUUAAACUCUUCAAACAGCCGCAUUCAAAUAUUUUUUUACAGUUUUCAGCAAAAACGAAACAAAAGUGGAAAAAUGUCAAAAACUGUGAGUCUGUUUGUCUCCUUUAAAAACGGUGGAAUGUCCUUUAACCAGCGUCGUCACAUGACGACACGUCAUCGGCUCCUCUUGGUUCGUCACGACCCGUCACAUGACCCGUCACACAUAUCGGCACCACGUCACAAUUCCUUGACACAUGACCCGUCACCGCCACAGGAGAAAUGCACUAAGAAGAAAAACAUAAAACGUCUGUACAACAUGAACCCAGGUUAUCGUCUGAAACCUCGGUCCUGGUUCACCUGUCCACUCAGGACACGGGGCACGGGAUUGGACAGCAUGCCUGUCAAUCACGGCACUGUCUUCAGGGCCGGAGGCGACCUGAGUUCAGCCUCACAGGCAGCUGAACCAGAUUCACUCCUGAUUCAGUUCUCAGGUGAGUCUUUGAACCCAUGAAGUCUUCCACAGUCCUUGCAGUGAAGCAUCUGAUUGGCUGAGGCAGUUGAGGAGGCGGGGCUCAGCCUGGGAGUCAGAAUUCAGGGUAGAAAUGUUCUGAAGAAGGUGUGACGCUGCGUUCAGGUGACUCAGAAACAAAAGAAAGCCUCAGAGCUCCAGCGGGUCCCACAGCACCUGAACGCAGCGUCACUGAAACAUGCAAAUAUAAAACAUCAUGACAGUUUAAAUUAAAAACAAAGCUGCUGUCGUUUCCUCCUCCUGUCAGUGAACCACAUCCAUGUCCUCAGUGUAAACAGAUGGAGAAGAAAACCAUGAGGGGAAAGAAAACAGACCAGUAAUAAACACGAGUCGCUCGUUGUUCUCACAAGUCGUCGUGUCACAGCGAAAAGAAAACCUGUGAAAAACUUCAAUGUUUUCCAUCUUGUAUUUCUUGGAUUUUCGUCAUUUAAUUAAUUUGGUUUUCAAAUGUUUUUCUAUUAAUUUGAAUUUGCACUUUCACCUGCUUGAUGUUUAGGAUUAUUUGUUUCCUAAACGUGAUGCAGGAAGGAGGCUGAGUGGGGAAGUGCCAUUUAAACAAAGUCCUGUUUGGUUGUGAAGACGUGGCUUAAUGUGUAAACAUCGGUGUGUUUGGAGGCUGCAGCAGCAACAGGAGGAGAACAAGACUUUGUUUUUGGGUGGAUCGCGCCUUUUAAAAACAAGAGGAGUUGCCGUGGCGACUGAUUAUCUCCGUCGUCACGGCAACACACACAGCCUCAUAUACAGAAUAUAUCUAUAUAUGUAUAUAUUUACAGAAUAUAUUUGUACACAAACAGUCCGUCAGCAGGAUUCAGGUCGCCUUUUCAACGUGAAAAAUGUCCCAGCAUGCAACAGUGGUCACCUGAUCGUCAUCCUCCAAUCACAUCAGGACCUUCGGCUGUAUGACGUCUCAUCAUUGAGACUAACAGCGAUGCUUUUAAGUAUUUAUCUCUCCAAUGGAUCUGCACAUGUGCAUGUAGUUUCCGUUUUUCUGCUUCUGAACGCUAUAGAAGUCCUGAUCACAUACGGAGGAUCGAUUGAUCAGGUGAUCAAUGAGCCUGAAAUCAGCUGCCGGGUCACAUGAUUGACCUGAAACCAUAAACAGCAUCAGAGCAACAGGAUUCCACAACAGCUGGAAAAAACAAACAAAACUGUACAGAGAAGAAAGACAACGUCCGUCUGUCCGAACAAUCCUCCGACUCAGAGUUCAGGGUUUUGGUAUGACGUCAUCAGUCACGUGACGUGAAAGAUGAAAACGCUGCGUCUUUUAUUACAAUAAAUAUUUCUGACAGUUUGGAUCUGAUGGAGACGUUGAAGCAUCCAGCAACAUGUUGCCUAACGUUAGCACUCAGAGCUAAGCUAGCUUAGACUAAAAAUGUCUAACUUCAUGACUAUUUGUCACUCCAAAUUCCAAAGCUACUGGGGUUAUGACGCUAGCUGAAGUUAGCAUUUUUUAAGCCAACUACUGUACACAUAUGUUAGCAUGAGGCUACGUUAGUCUAAACUCAAAAAUAAAAAUGUCUGACUUAAUGGCUAGCUUUAUUAUCUCAAAUUCCAAACCGCCUGGGUUCAUAAGAUUUGUUAAAUUAUCAUUUUCAAACUAACUACAGUACACUUAAGUUAGCAUGAGGCUACAUUAGCCUUAAGUUAAAACUGAGUAGAUUAAAGUUUAACAGCCAGCUGUUUAAGUUUAAUCUUAAAACCAACUAACUGGCUAAUGUCUACAGUUAGUUUUACCCUCAUAAUUUUAGCCAAUGUUAGCUUCCUCAAACCAACUGCUGUAGACCUGUAUUCACUAACAUUAGCAUUUAGCAUUUGUAGUGUAAUCUACACCAUCUUUAUUGAUGGUUUCUGGAUUGUUUUCAAACCCAAAGCAAGCAGUUUAAUAUGUUUACAGCUAGUUGUAUUAGCUUAAUCUACAAACCAACUAACUUCACAAUGUUAGCUAAUGUUAGCAGUCAGUUAUUUUAGAGCCAUCACUAAACAACUACAGAGGUGUUGGCUAUCGUUAGCAUUGAGCUGCAUUAGCAGUUAGCAGUGUUGACAAAGUCUCAGGAUGUCAGUUAAUAUUUAAAGAUAACUGUUUCAGUUUAAUUGUUACUACAGUUAGCAUUUAGCAGUGUUGGCUAUACCCGAUACCAACUUUCUUAACAUGAACUAUCGUCUGCAGUGAGCUACAUUUGCUGGCUAAUGACUAGCUGCAUCAGCUUAAACUGUUUUCAUAAUUCUGAUCGUAGCAUUCAAGCUACUACAUUUACCAUUUUGAGCAUUUAGCAGUGCUAAUCAUGAGCUUUGUUAGCUUAAACUCUGGACCAAGUACUAUUGUAAAAUUAUGGCCCAUUUAGAGUCACAACUAUUGGCAAUUAGCAUUUUGUCUUUCUAAUCUCUAUAAUAGUUUUUCUAUUGACUUUAAAUUUAAAAAAAAAGCAGUCUUAUGUUAGCUAGCUUAUAGCUAGCUGUUAGCUUGAAGUAAAAAACCAACCAGGGUAAUAUUCUUAGCAUCAUGCUAGCAUCUUCUUUGAACCAACUACAUCAAUAGUGGCUGCACUUAUUAAUGAGCAAUAUUAGUGUCAUUUAAAUUAAAUGUUACAAAAAAAAAAGCUUUUGUUAGCGAUUAGCAGCAUAACAUGUCAACCAUCUUUUUCAGCUAAAUAAGGGCUAGCAUUUUGCUACAUUAGGUUAAUUAGCAAUGCAAAUAUGCCAUGUUUAAUUAAAUAUUCAUUUGUUUAAUACUUUGUUUUGCUUGUAUUUAGGUUUUAGGAGAAUAUUUAAGUUUUGUUUUCACUGAUAAGUUUGUUUUUAAAGAGUUUGCUAUUGAAUGUAAAUGUUUGAUUUUUAUUAUCUUAUAUAUUUGUGUUCAGUUGAUCAAAAUCAAAGAUAAUGUCAGUAAGUCAGUUGGGGAUUCACUUCUAAACAAACUAGAGCCAUAAAGUUAACGUUAAAGCAACGUUAGUUCAGCGAUGUGAGUAUAAACCUUCAUGCUGCUGUUCAGUGAGACCAGACGCAGCAAUGAAAGAAUUAUCUGAGGCUCAGAUUAGAGAUUUAAAAUAACAGUCAAAUAAAAAUAUAUUUACAAAACUAUUUAGCUCUAGGUAGAAUUAAAACAUUGUUUUUUCUUCCCGUAAACCUUAAAAUUCCUUGUAAUGACUUGAGCCCCCUCUAAAAACAAUAAAUAAAAAAAAAACACCCUGUAGGAGAACGUGUAAUAUUUAAUAUCCUAAAUCUGUGCAAAAACAGCCGCGUUUAAACUGGCUGCAGCUCAAACAGCUGAUUCAUGGUUUUAAUCUUCGUUUCUCAGACGUAAAGAUUUUCAGCUUUUCUUUGACAGCAAAGUAAAUCCACAUCUAAAGACGUCAGCUCCGUCUGCUAAUUAAGAUAUUUAAAUGUCUCGUUUGUCUGAGAAACAGUCAAAAACACAAGAUGUCACUUUCAGAAGAAACU